AGUGAACGCUGGCGGUAGGCCUAACACAUGCAAGUCGAACGGCAGCACAGUAAGAGCUUGCUCUUACGGGUGGCGAGUGGCGGACGGGUGAGGAAUACAUCGGAAUCUACUUUUUCGUGGGGGAUAACGUAGGGAAACUUACGCUAAUACCGCAUACGACCUACGGUUGAAAGCAGGGGAUCUUCGGACCUUGCGCGAGUGAAUGAGCCGAUGUCGGAUUAGCUAGUUGGCGGGGUAAAGGCCCACCAAGGCGACGAUCCGUAGCUGGUCUGAGAGGAUGAUCAGCCACACUGGAACUGAGACACGGUCCAGACUCCUACGGGAGGCAGCAGUGGGGAAUAUUGGACAAUGGGCGCAAGCCUGAUCCAGCCAUACCGCGUGGGUGAAGAAGGCCUUCGGGUUGUAAAGCCCUUUUGUUGGGAAAGAAAAGCAGCAGGUUAAUACCCCGCUGUUCUGACGGUACCCAAAGAAUAAGCACCGGCUAACUUCGUG
rnacentral:rRNA from 1 species